AGCGGCGGACGGGUGAGUAACACGUAGGCAACCUGCCCCUUGGACUGGGAUAACUACCGGAAACGGUAGCUAAUACCGGAUAAUUCCUCUUAGUUCCUGCUAAGAGGCUGAAAGGCGGAGCAAUCUGUCACCAAGGGAUGGGCCUGCGGCGCAUUAGCUAGUUGGUGGGGUAACGGCUCACCAAGGCGACGAUGCGUAGCCGACCUGAGAGGGUGAACGGCCACACUGGGACUGAGACACGGCCCAGACUCCUACGGGAGGCAGCAGUAGGGAAUCUUCCGCAAUGGGCGAAAGCCUGACGGAGCAACGCCGCGUGAGUGAUGAAGGUUUUCGGAUCGUAAAGCUCUGUUGCCAGGGAAGAACGUCCUUUAGAGUAACUGCUUAAAGAGUGACGGUACCUGAGAAGAAAGCCCCGGCUAACUACGUGCCAGCAGCCGCGGUAAUACGUAGGGGGCAAGCGUUGUCCGGAAUUAUUGGGCGUAAAGCGCGCGCUGGCGGCUGUUUAAGUCUGGUGUUUAAACCAUGGGCUCAACCUGUGGUCGCACUGGAAACUGGACAGCUUGAGUGCAGAAGAGGAAAGUGGAAUUCCACGUGUAGCGGUGAAAUGCGUAG
rnacentral:rRNA from 1 species